rnacentral:rRNA from 1 species
AUGACCUCGGAUCAGGUAGGGAUACCCGCUGAACUUAAGCAUAUCAAUUAAAGCGGAAGGAAAAAGAAACCAAACAGGGGAUUACCCUCAGUAAC